rnacentral:rRNA from 1 species
CGUACAGGUCUCCGUAGGUGAACCUGCGGAGGGAUCAUUACACAAAUAUGAAGGCGGGCUGNAACCUCUCGGGGUUACAGCCUUGCUGAAUUAUUCACCCUUGUCUUUUGCGUACUUCUUGUUUCCUUGGUGGGUUCGCCCACCACUAGGACAAACAUAAACCUUUUGUAAUUGCAAUCAGCGUCAGUAACAAAUUAAUAAUUACAACUUUCAACAACGGAUCUCUUGGUUCUGGCAUCGAUGAAGAACGCAGCGAAUGCGAUAAGUAGUGUGAAUUGCAGAAUUCAGUGAAUCAUCGAAUCUUUGAACGCACAUUGCGCCCUUUGGUAUUCCAAAGGGCAUGCCUGUUCGAGCGUCAUUUGUACCCUCAAGCUUUGCUUGGUGUUGGGCGUCUUGUCUCUAGCUUUGCUGGAGACUCGCCUUAAAGUAAUUGGCAGCCGGCCUACUGGUUUCGGAGCGCAGCACAAGUCGCACUCUCUAUCAGCAAAGGUCUAGCAUCCAUUAAGCCUUUUUUUCAACUUUUGACCUCGGAUCANGUAGGGAUACCCGCUGAACUUAAGCAUAUC